rnacentral:rRNA from 1 species
UACGAAGGGGGCUAGCGUUGUUCGGAAUUACUGGGCGUAAAGGGCGCGUAGGCGGUCCGGUAAGUCGGCUGUGAAAGUCCAGGGCUCAACCCUGGGAUGCCGGUCGAUACUGCCGGACUAGAGUUCGGAAGAGGCGAGUGGAAUUCCCGGUGUAGCGGUGAGAUGCGCAGAUAUCGGGAGGAACACCGAUGGCGAAGGCAGGUCUCUGGGCAUUAACUGACGCUGAGGAGCGAAAGCAUGGGGCGCGAACAGG